UGACAGUUUAACUACAGGACAGCUGUCUGCCGUGUGGAGAACAGAGAAGGUACUAUCAGGACACUUCAGGCAGAGGGACUAACCGAGGCUAAUAAGGCAGGAAAGUCACGGUGUAUUGGGGCAGAGUGCUCUGACCUGGACUGGACAACAGGCUUCGCAUACACAGGAAGCAGCUGCCCACAAUGGCAAGGACCCUUUGUGCUUCAGUCUGUACCUGGAGCCUGAGAGCUGCUGAAGGCUUCCUAACAGCUUACAUUUUUGCAAGCUGUAUAAUGUGCACAACCUUGAGUAUACCUUGGAGGGUGUAGGGUGAAGAAUGUGAGUCUCCAGAGGAGACCAAGUGUGGGGCCUCAGGUUGGGAGCUAAGUAGGGAAGACAAACUAACUCUCUCUCUCUCUCUCUCUCUCUCUCUCUCUCUUCUCUCUCUCUCUCUGGAAAAGGGCCUUGCUGUGUAGCACUAGCUGGCUUAGAACUCACUGUGUAAACCUGUUGUGUGACAAAUGCUUCCUGAGGUAUAGCCUCCCCCAGCCUGAAGCUGGCUGGUGCAGACCUUGUCCCCACUGGGGUGGGGCCACCUGCGGUGCAGCUUUCCGACUUGGUUGGCUCCUUUUUGAAGUGACAACUGUCCUGCUCUUCUGCUACCUGCCAGGAGGCUGAACCUGUCUUCCUGAGACAUUCCUGAAUAAGCAACCAGCCUGGUGACCAAGUGUUGACAGCAUGCAGCAUGGCGACAAGCACCAAGGAUGGACUGGCGGGUGGCGGGGGGGGGGGGGGGCUUCCCCCUUAUAACACGGUCUCUUAGUAAAAUUGUGGGCCUUGAUC
rnacentral:lncRNA from 1 species